rnacentral:rRNA from 1 species
GACGAACGCUGGCGGCGUGCCUAAUACAUGCAAGUCGAACGCAGUGGGGACGGGUGAGUAACACGUGGGUAACCUCCCAUCAGAGGGGAUAACACUUGGAAACAGGUGCUAAACCGAUACUGAUGGAUGAACCCGCGGUGCAGUAGCUAGUUGGUGAGGUAACGGCGCACCAAGGCCACGAUGCAUAGCCGACUUGAGAGGGUGAUCGGCCACAAUGGGACGGUGACACGGCCAAGAAGCCUACGGGAGGCAGCAGUAGUGAAUCGUCGGCCAUGGACGAAAGUCUGACCGAGCAACGGCGCGGGAGGGAAGAAGGUUGUCGGAUCGUAAAACGCUGUUGUUAGAGAAGCGGUAUCUAACCAGAAAGCCACGGCUAACUACGUGCCAGGCGCCGCGGUAAUUC